UACGUAGGGGGCGAGCGUUGUCCGGAUUUAUUGGGCGUAAAGAGCGUGUAGGCGGCCAGGUAGGUCUGGUGUGAAAAACUCGAGGCUUACCUCGAGAUGUCAUCGGAACCAACUCUGGCCUAGAGUCCGGAAGAGGAGAGUGGAAUUCCCGGUGUAGCGGUGGAAUGCGUAGAGAUCGGGAAGAACAUCAGUGGCGAAGGCGGUCUGCUGGGCCGUUGCUGACGCUGAGGCGCGACAGCGUGGGGAGCAAACAGG
rnacentral:rRNA from 1 species